AGUGAACGCUGGCGGUAGGCCUAACACAUGCAAGUCGAACGGCAGCACAGUAAGAGCUUGCUCUUACGGGUGGCGAGUGGCGGACGGGUGAGGAAUACAUCGGAAUCUACUUUUUCGUGGGGGAUAACGUAGGUAAACUUACGCUAAUACCGCAUACGACCUACGGGUGAAAGCAGGGGAUCUUCGGACCUUGCGCGAUUGAAUGAGCCGAUGUCGGAUUAGCUAGUUGGCGGGGUAAAGGCCCACCAAGGCGACGAUCCGUAGCUGGUCUGAGAGGAUGAUCAGCCAAACUGGAACUGAGACACGGUCCAGACUCCUACGGGAGGCAGCAGUGGGGAAUAUUGGACAAUGGGCGCAAGCCUGAUCCAGCCAUACCGCGUGGGUGAAGAAGGCCUUCGGGUUGUAAAGCCCUUUUGUUGGGAAAGAAAAGCAGCAGGUUAAUACCCCGCUGUUCUGACGGUACCCAAAGAAUAAGCACCGGCUAACUUCGUG
rnacentral:rRNA from 1 species